AGAAGACAAGCAGAUGAGGAGACAAAACCUACUGAUGUGGGUACCCAAGCAGGAACCCCCCUCUUGCACCGGCGACUCACGUGGGAAGAAGAAUUCACUGAGCUGAAAUGGAGUGAGAGCUAAGAUGCUCUCAGAAUAUUCUUAAAAUGACUGUGCUGCAAAGAAGCCCGGGUGAAUAGAAGAAAAUAGAAGGAAUGGUGGAUACAAGUGAAGGUUAAAAUGAGACCCCAUUUAUCGCACCAGCUGUUGGUGAUUUCAGCGCACCUUUCCAAGCCUCUUGAGAGUUCUGCUCUAACCACACUGCCCCCUAGUGUUCUCUCGCUUUGGUGCAACGUGAGUAAAAAAAAAAAAACCACCAAGAUUUACUUUCAAUAUAUACACUGUAUUCAUCAGUGUUUUGCUAUAGAGAAUGUAAGAUAUCUUUCUGUAAAUUAUUUAGAUAUUUAAUCUUAUUUAUUUAUUUAUCCCAAUAAGAUAUUAAAGCAUGCUAAGCUGGAAUGAUUUUUUUUCAUAAAUGGGUAAAAGCAAAAGUAAAAGUUUAGAUACUAUUAAAUAAUUCCUGAUCUAAUAAACGGAGACAAAUUACCUAAUAUUUUUGAGCACCUAUUAUGUUAGACAUGUAAGAAAUACUGUAUUACAAGUGAAGUCUAAGUAAGCCUAAUUCAAUACUUAACUUUUAAAGUUAGAAACAUUUUAAAUAUAUUUAUUAAUUUGAUCUCGAAUUUGGGGAAAACAGUAAAGAUGGAAGAGAGAAAAGGGAGAAUUUUUAAAUUUUACAUAUCUAAGUGGCUUUGUAUUAUGUUUUAAUUGAAAAAUAUUUUAAACAAGUCAAUUCUGAUAAGAUGUAGAAAUUCUACUUGCAGCUUUAGGACAAAGUGAAUUAAAAACAAAGGCUUUCUACUUGAAAUGUGGCCAGUGUGACUGAGAAAUGGAGUUUCUAAAUUUUCAUUUCAUUUUAAUUAAUUUCACUGAUUUAAAUUUUAAAACUGAUUGAUACUCAAUUCAGUCACUGAAAACUUUUACGUAUGCUUGUAACAACUUAGGUAUCUGAAUCUAUUUUUUUCAAAUGUAAAUUUUAAGAUAUCUAUUUAGAUUAAAUAUUCCUAAUAAAAAUAUAGCAUUUUAAUUGCAUAGGCUAUAAGUGAAAAAUGUACAGCACAUUUCAAAUGUUUAGUACAAAGCCAAAAGAAUGUAAUAUUUCUCAUUAAUAAUUGUUAUAUUUAGUACAUGUUGAAAUUUAUAUUUAGAUAUGUCAAACAAAAUAUAUUAUUAAAAUUAAUUAUAUUGGUAAAAAAGGCUAAUAGUAUAGAAAUCAUAACUAUGUAUUCCUCUAUCUGAAUAAACUGAGAGAAUCAAGUUUUCAGAUUAUUAAAGAUUGAAAAAUUGAAAAUAUAUCUGUUUUCCAUGGUGCAGUUCACAUACCACUGGUGAUAAAUUACUUUAGCCAAUGCAAAUGUAUAGGCUUUUUAUUGUUAUGCAUUAUUUGAGCAAUAGUGAAAAUGAAACUGAGAUAUCAAAUCUAUGAUUUUGCAGAUAUUGAUGUUUAGGACUACACUACACAUUAAUUACAGUGCUCAUGUUUAUAAAUUUUUAGUAACUUUGACUCCACCAUUAAAUUGGAUUAGAAAUAUAAGUUGCAGAGUUUUCUUUUUUUUUUUUUUCAUAUUUUAAAAUAAGCUUUAUUUAGAUUUUUUUUUAAUAUUUUAUAUUUGCAUCCAUGCCUUCGAGAAACCUUUCCCACGGGAAAGGUUAUUUUCGUCUAAUGUUACCCAUAACUCAUUCGCUAUUUGACGUAGUUCUCUUAAAUAAAUCAUCCUUUAGUAACUCUUAGAAUUAUCUCCUAAUUUACAAAAACUGAAAUGAAAAGGAACUACUAAAUCAUUAGCAGGAGUGGUUGCAAUCUUAUUUUCUUGUAAGUAAAGGGAAAAUGAUAAAAAUCAACCAGAAAAGAAAUUCAUGGGCAAGAAAAGUAUUUUCUAAAAUCUGUCUCCGUAGAGAAAGAUGCCAGCUUGGGUCGCUCCCCCUCACCCCUAGGCUCGGUUAAACAGUUUGGUCAAAGGAGGACAGAAAAGUCCUUAUGAGGGCCUCAAGUUGCAGAGUUUUCUAAAGCCUGAGUUUUACUGUUUCUAUCCUUCUGGUGUCACUUAACAUGUUCCUCUGUCCAGUGUAUUUCCUGUAAGGUGUCAUUUAACAUGUUCCUCUGUCCAGUGUAUUUCCUGUAAGUUGUAGUUAGAAUUAAGAACAGCACCAUACAAUAGAAAUAUGAGCCACAAAUAUAAUUUAAAAUUUUAAAAUACACAUUUAAAAAAAGAAAACAUUAAAAUUAAAAUUAAUUUUAAUAAUAUAAUUUUAUUUAACCCAAUAUGUCACAAAUAUUAUGUAUGUAGUCAUACAUACAUAUUAAAUUUUAAAAUUUAAGUCAAUAUUAAAGUCAAUAUUAAAAAUUAUUGAGAUAGUUUACAUCUUUUUUUCAUAUUAAGUUUUUGCUAUCUGGUGUGUAUUUUACGUGUACAGAACAUCUCAAUUUGGCCUAUCCACAUUUCAAAUGCUCAGUAGCCACAUGGGAUUAGUACUGAAUACAGUAGACCCAGGUACAUCAUCAGACUGAGGUUCAAUUUUUGGCCAAAAUACCCCACAGGUGGUGGUGUGUACCUCCAUACAGAAGCAUAUGUCUGGUGGCUUUUUUGUGAUGUUGGCAGUCAUUGAUUACCAUUGUCUACACCCAAUAAUUCAUUAAAGGUUGCAAAAUGGCAAUACUCAAAUUUUAAAAUUCCUUCUUCAUUUAUUAGAUGGAGUACUUUUAUCAAGAGAAACAUCUCAUCAACUGCUUGGUUACUUGGAAUAAUAUGUAUAGGGAAGUUAGGAAAAAUGUUUGAUCUCUUCCUUUUAUUUGCCAGUUUUUAAAAUAAUGAUUUUGGUUUCCUUGCAUUUUCCAAGGAUGAUCAAUAAUAUUUUAUUUUAACAGUAUUAUUAGGAAUUCAUGAAUGUUAAUAUUUGAUGUGCCUCAGUUCAUUGCAGAGUUAACUUAAUUGCAGAGUUCUGAUAUCACCAAAGCCGUUUAUGAUAUUCCAGGUCCGUCUUGUACACUUCCUUCCACAGACCUGUAAUCAGCUAUUUCUUCAGGGAGCCUGUGAUUCCUUUUAGUGGAAAAUGGUAUGUAGAGAACAUUAUCUGUGUGUGAAGGGUUGAGCACGUUCCAUCUUUUCAGAGAACAAAGCUAGAAAACAUGUAUUUUAAUAAAAUAAUAUUCAUCAUGAAUUCAUGAUGUUUCCUAUUCAAAUUCAAGUAGAGGACUUUUUUCACAGUGUCCUUUUCCCUGUCAAAUUUCAAAUUUUAUUGACAUGAAUAUAAUUAUUCAUUUGCUGUAUUCAUAAUACACAUGUGCAACAGUCUCGAAUAAAUAGAAGACUACCACUAGCAAAAUGAUUACAAAAAUCAGCUUAAGAUACUUUGCAGUUGUUUUUGUCAUUAUGAUAACAUUCCGCUAAAACAGGCAAAUUAUUGUGUUUUACGGUCACUUGGGAAUAGUCCCUUUGGUGCUGUUCUGCCACCUACUGGACAGACAGGCUCAAUAGGCUUAUUUUACUUUUGAUAUUCAGGAAUCACUUUAUUUUAAAUUGAAUUUUGCUUUGUAAUAAUGCAAAGUUUUACAUGACUCUAGAGUCAAAUUUACAAAACAAGUCUAGUUUUUCUCCCUGUCUCCUCAAUCUUAUUUCCUUCCUCUACCUUUAAAUAUUUUAUUUUUAAAUGCUGUGAUUUAUAUGUCCAUUAGUAUAUAUUUGUAUAUAAUUUGUAUACAAAUUAUACAAAAUUGAUAUAUAUUUGUAUUUUUUAUCCCGUCUCCUUUAUUAGAUAAUUGGUAGCAUACUAUACAGACUUUUCUCCACCUGAAAGAAACAUACAUAUUAUUAUUAAAAGUUUAUAUGUAUAUAACCUGGAGUGUUGGGUUUUGCUUUGUUAGGUAAUCUGGAAAUAUUUUUAUAAAUGUAAAUUUAAUCAGUAAAUUUAUUUUUAGGAUCCAAAUGCUUGGCAUCACUUUUGUCAUAUUUGUUACAUGUAUUUCUGUCCAUACAAGCAUGCAAACAUCGUCACAUCUAUAUACCCGUGACUACCUCUAUCUUUAUUGCCUUACAUUUCUACUCUUUUCCUAUGUGGUCAAUAUCAAGGCUGCUCCAUGAACUGUUUGCUACCAAGCUAUGAUGACUUGUGAAUAGAAAGUAAC
rnacentral:lncRNA from 1 species